rnacentral:rRNA from 1 species
AUUGAACGCUGGCGGCAUGCCUUACACAUGCAAGUCGAACGGCAGCACGGGUGCUUGCCCCUGGCGGCGAGUGGCGAACGGGUGAGUAAUACAUCGGAACAUGUCCUGUAGUGGGGGAUAGCCCGGCGAAAGCCGGAUUAAUACCGCAUACGAUCUACGGAUGAAAGCGGGGGACCUUCGGGCCUCGCGCUAUAGGGUUGGCCGAUGGCUGAUUAGCUAGUUGGUGGGGUAAAGGCCUACCAAGGCGACGAUCAGUAGCUGGUCUGAGAGGACGACCAGCCACACUGGGACUGAGACACGGCCCAGACUCCUACGGGAGGCAGCAGUGGGGAAUUUUGGACAAUGGGCGAAAGCCUGAUCCAGCAAUGCCGCGUGUGUGAAGAAGGCCUUCGGGUUGUAAAGCACUUUUGUCCGGAAAGAAAUCCUUGGCUCUAAUACAGUCGGGGGAUGACGGUACCGGAAGAAUAAGCACCGGCUAACUACGUG